rnacentral:misc_RNA from 1 species
GAUGAAGAACGUAGCGAAAUGCGAUAAGUAAUGUGAAUUGCAGAAUUCAGUGAAUCAUCGAAUCUUUGAACGCACAUUGCGCCCGCCAGGAUUCUGGCGGGCAUGCCUGUUCGAGCGUCAUUACAACCCUCAGGCCCCCGGGCCUGGCGUUGGGGAUCGGCGGAAGCCCCCUGUGGGCACACGCCGUCCCUCAAAUACAGUGGCGGUCCCGCCGCAGCUUCCAUUGCGUAGUAGCUAACACCUCGCAACUGGAGAGCGGCGCGGCCAUGCCGUAAAACACCCAACUUCUGAAUGUUGACCUCGAAUCAGGUAGGAAUACCCGCUGAACUUAAGCAUAUCAAUAAGCGGAGGA